GACGAACGCUGGCGGCGUGCUUAACACAUGCAAGUCGAACGGGAGUUCGUAAACAGAAGCCUCGGCUAGAGAGUACUAAUGAGAGUGGCGAACGGUUGAUUAACGCGUGAGCAACCUGCCUAUGACAGGGGGAUAGCCUCGGGAAACCGGGAUUAAUACCGCAUAAAAUCGUAGAAACACAUGUUUUAACGUUCACAGAUUUAUCGGUCAUAGAGGGGCUCGCUUCUGAUUAGCUAGUUGGUGAGAUAACAGCCCACCAAGGCGGCGAUCAGUAGCCGGGAAGAGAGGAAGAGCCGACACAUUGGAGGUAGGCAGCGGUCCGAAAUCCUACGGGAGGGAGCAGAGGGGAAUAUUGCAAAAUGGGGGAAGCGAUGAUGGAGCGCGGCUGGGUGAACGAAGAAGGUAGUAGUAAAGUAAAGUUCUGUCAUAUGGGAAGAUAAUGACGGUACCAAAGAAGAAAGCUCCGGCUAAAUACGUG
rnacentral:rRNA from 1 species